rnacentral:rRNA from 1 species
GACGAACGCUGGCGGCGUGCUUAACACAUGCAAGUCGAACGGAAAGGCCCUGCUUUUGUGGGGUGCUCGAGUGGCGAACGGGUGAGUAACACGUGAGUAACCUGCCCUUGACUUUGGGAUAACUUCAGGAAACUGGGGCUAAUACCGGAUAGGAGCUCCUGCUGCAUGGUGGGGGUGGGAAAGUUUCGGCGGUUGGGGAUGGACUCGCGGCUUAUCAGCUUGUUGGUGGGGUAGUGGCUUACCAAGGCUUUGACGGGUAGCCUGCCUGAGAGGGUGACCGGCCACAUUGGGACUGAGAUACGGCCCAGACUCCUACGGGAGGCAGCAGUGGGGAAUAUUGCACAAUGGGCGGAAGCCUGAUGCAGCAACGCCGCGUGCGGGAUGACGGCCUUCGGGUUGUAAACCGCUUUCGCCUGUGACGAAGCGUGAGUGACGGUAAUGGGUAAAGAAGCACCGGCUAACUACGUG